GAUGAACGCUGACAGAAUGCUUAACACAUGCAAGUCUUUGGCGAAGCUGUGCUUGCACAGCCUAGCCAAGGCGGACGGGUGAGUAACGCGUAAGGAACUUGCCCUGCAGUCAGGGAUAACAGACGGAAACGACUGAUAAGACCUGGUAAAGUCAGGCGGACUCAUGUCCAGCCUGAUGAAAAGAGAUGCUGCAGGAGAGCCUUGCGACCUAUUAGCUUGUUGGUGGGGUAACGGCCCACCAAGGCGAUGAUAGGUAGCCGGCCUGAGAGGGUGGACGGCCACAAGGGGACUGAGAUACGGCCCUUACUCCUACGGGAGGCAGCAGUGGGGAAUAUUGGACAAUGGGGGCAACCCUGAUCCAGCAAUUCUGUGUGCACGAUGAAGGUUUUCGGAUUGUAAAGUGCUUUCAGCAGGGAAGAAAAAAAUGACGGUACCUGCAGAAGAAGCGACGGCUAAAUACGUG
rnacentral:rRNA from 1 species